rnacentral:rRNA from 1 species
CUGCUGCCUCCCGUAGGAGUUUGGUCCGUGUCUCAGUACCAAUGUGGGGGGUUAACCUCUCAGUCCCCCUAUGUAUCGUUGUCUUGGUGAGCCGUUACCCCACCAACUAACUAAUACAACGCAUGCCCAUCCAUUACCACCGGAGUUUUCAACCCAAGAAGAUGCCUCCCUGGAUGUUAUGGGGUAUUAGUACCGAUUUCUCAGUGUUAUCCCCCUGUAAUGGGUAGGUUGCAUACGCAUUACGCACCCGUGCGCCGGUCGCCGACAUAG